UACGUAGGGGGCAAGCGUUGUCCGGAUUUAUUGGGCGUAAAGAGCGUGUAGGCGGCUUCACAGGUCCGCUGUGAAAACUCGAGGCUCAACCUCGAGCUGUCGGUGGAAACCGUGUGGCUAGAGUCCGGAAGAGGAGAGUGGAAUUCCCGGUGUAGCGGUGAAAUGCGCAGAUAUCGGGAAGAACACCCGUGGCGAAGGCGACUUCCUGGCCUGUUCUUGACGCUGAGGCGCGAAAGCUAGGGUAGCAAACGGG
rnacentral:rRNA from 1 species